GUCCACGCUGUAAAACGAUGUGUGCUAGACGUUGGGGAGCCUAGCUCUUCGGUGUCGCAGCUAACGCAUUAAGCACACCGCCUGGGGAGUACGGCCGCAAGGUUAAAACUCAAAGGAAUUGACGGGGGCCCGCACAAGCGGUGGAGCAUGUGGUUUAAUUCGACGCAACGCGAAGAACCUUACCAGCCCUUGACAUGCCUCGUAUGGGUGGGAGAGAUCCCAUCCUUCAGUUCGGCUGGCGGGGACACAGGUGCUGCAUGGCUGUCGU
rnacentral:rRNA from 1 species